rnacentral:rRNA from 1 species
UACGGGGGGGGCAAGCGUUGUUCGGAAUUACUGGGCGUAAAGGGCCCGUAGGUGGCUAACUAAGUCAGACGUGAAAUCCCCAGGCUCAACUUGGGAACUGCGUCUGAUACUGGAUGGCUUGAAUCCGGGAGAGGGAUGCAGAAUUCCAGGUGUAGCGGUGAAAUGCGUAGAUAUCUGGAGGAAUACCGGUGGCGAAGGCGGCAUCCUGGACCGGCAUUGACACUGAACGGCGAAAGCCAGGGGAGCAAACGGG